AUAAAAUAAGCUUUUAUAGCAUUUCACUUACACUGAAAUUAAUCUAUA
rnacentral:tRNA from 1 species